CUGGUGCCAGCAGCCGCGGUAAUUCCAGCUCCAAUAGCGUAUAUUAAAGUUGUUGCAGUUAAAAAGCUCGUAGUUGAAUUUCGGGGUCAGCAGGUUGGUCGUGCCAACGGUAUGUACUGGCUUUGCUGAUUCCUCCUUCUUGUAGAACUGUAAUGCCAUUAAUUUGGUGUUGCAGGGAAACAGGACUGUUACUUUGAAAAAAUUAGAGUGUUUAAAGCAGGCUUACGCUUGAAUACAUUAGCAUGGAAUAAUGAAAUAGGACGUUGAUCCUAUUUUAGUUGGUUUCUAGGGAUUGACGUAAUGAUUAAUAGGGAUAUUGGGGGCAUUAGUAUUCAAUUGUCAGAGGUGAAAUUCUUGGAUUUAUUGAAGACUAACUACUGCGAAGGCAUUUGCCAAGGAUGUUUUCAUUAAUCAAGAACGAAAGUUAGGGGGAUCGAAGACGAUCAGAUACCGUCGUAGUCUUAACCAUAAACUAUGCCGACUAGGGAUCGGAUGAUGUUAAUUUUUUUAAUGACUCAUUCGGCGCCUUACG
rnacentral:rRNA from 1 species